rnacentral:rRNA from 1 species
GUGCCAGCAGCCGCGGUAAGACGAACCGUGCGAACGUUGUUCGGAUUCACUGGGCUUAAAGGGCGCGUAGGCGGGCAAGCAAGUCCGGGGUGAAAUCUUUCGGCUCAACCGGAAAAGUGCCUUGGAUACUGCUUGUCUUGAGGGAGGUAGGGGUCAUGGGAACUUCCGGUGGAGCGGUGAAAUGCGUUGAUAUCGGAAGGAACGCCGGUGGCGAAAGCGCAUGACUGGAUCUCUUCUGACGCUGAGGCGCGAAAGCUAGGGGAGCAAACGGGAUUAGAUACCCCGGUAGUCC